GUACACUCCUGCGGGAGGCAGCAGUGGGGAAUAUUGCACAAUGGGCGCAAGCCUGAUGCAGCCAUGCCGCGUGUAUGAAGAAGGCCUUCGGGUUGUAAAGUACUUUCAGCGGGGAGGAAGGCGAUAAGGUUAAUAACCUUGUCGAUUGACGUUACCCGCAGAAGAAGCACCGGCUAACUCCGUGCCAGCAGCCGCGGUAAUACGGAGGGUGCAAGCGUUAAUCGGAAUUACUGGGCGUAAAGCGCACGCAGGCGGUCUGUCAAGUCGGAUGUGAAAUCCCCGGGCUCAACCUGGGAACUGCAUUCGAAACUGGCAGGCUAGAGUCUUGUAGAGGGGGGUAGAAUUCCAGGUGUAGCGGUGAAAUGCGUAGAGAUCUGGAGGAAUACCGGUGGCGAAGGCGGCCCCCUGGACAAAGACUGACGCUCAGGUGCGAAAGCGUGGGGAGCAAACAGGAUUAGAAACCCUGGUAGUCCC
rnacentral:rRNA from 1 species